rnacentral:snoRNA from 1 species
CCGGUUGAUGAGACUAAGGCGAAUGCGACUCCGUGCUCUCCGGUCCUUGGCUUCCUGGGGGUGGAGGUUUUGAAUGGGAUCUGGAAUCUUAGUGGGGUGCCUGAGGCCUGGCUCCUCACUGUAAGGCAGAUUAAUAGCACUGCUGGCCUUACCUGCAUUUCUGCUGCUGCCUCCAGUUCCUGGCAGCUGCCUGCAUGAGGGGGCCCACAGCCAGGGACCAAAGUGGGACUAGGCACGAGCUAUUUGAGCGCAACCUUGGAUCUGACA